rnacentral:ncRNA from 1 species
AAAGUCCGGCCCGGGUAAGGGGUAGCGCCCGCCCGGUAGUGAGUGUUGCGGCGUGGAAGGCGACGACCACGGUGAAGCGUACACAGCAACCGUGUGGGGUGUGGGAUUGAGCCACGAAAUUGAUAGAGCGCAGGGGCCGAGGCGGUUGAAAACGCCGAAGGCAACAUGUGCGGAGCCGUUACGCGAGGCUCUGUCGCCUUGCCGGGGUCGAAGGCCA